CUACGUGCCAGCAGCCGCGGUAAUACGUAGGGUGCAAGCGUUAAUCGGAAUUACUGGGUGUAAAGCGAGCGCAGACGGUUACUUAAGCAGGAUGUGAAAUCCCCGGGCUCAACCUGGGAACUGCGUUCUGAACUGGGUGACUAGAGUGUGUCAGAGGGAGGUAGAAUUCCACGUGUAGCAGUGAAAUGCGUAGAGAUGUGGAGGAAUACCGAUGGCGAAGGCAGCCUCCUGGGAUAACACUGACGUUCAUGCUCGAAAGCGUGGGUAGCAAACAGGAUUAGAUACCCUGGUAGUCCACGCCCUAAACGAUGUCAAUUAGCUGUUGGGCAACUUGAUUGCUUAGUAGCGUAGCUAACGCGUGAAAUUGACCGCCUGGGGAGUACGGUCGCAAGAUUAAAACUCAAAGGAAUUGACGGGGACCCGCACAAGCGGUGGAUGAUGUGGAUUAAUUCGAUGCAACGCGAAGAACCUUACCUGGUCUUGACAU
rnacentral:rRNA from 1 species